rnacentral:rRNA from 1 species
AUUGAACGCUGGCGGCAUGCCUUACACGUGCAAGUCGAACGGCAGCACGGGUGCUUGCACCUGGUGGCGAGUGGCGAACGGGUGAGUAGUACAUCGGAACGUACCUUAUCGUGGGGGAUAACGCAGCGAAAGCUGUGCUAAUACCGCAUACGCCCUGAGGGGGAAAGCGGGGGAUCGAAAGACCUCGCGCGAUUAGAGCGGCCGAUGCCUGAUUAGCUUGUUGGUGGGGUAAAAGCCCACCAAGGCGACGAUCAGUAGCUGGUCUGAGAGGACGAUCAGCCACACUGGGACUGAGACACGGCCCAGACUCCUACGGGAGGCAGCAGUGGGGAAUUUUGGACAAUGGGGGCAACCCUGAUCCAGCAAUGCCACGUGAGUGAAGAAGGCCUUCGGGUUGUAAAGCUCUUUUGUCAGGGAAGAAACACCGGCUCUAACACAGUCCGGGAAUGACGGUACCUGAAGAAUAAGUACCGGCUAACUACGUGCCAGCCGCCGCCGUAA